rnacentral:rRNA from 1 species
GGGGAUAAUCGGGAGAAAUCCCGUCUAAUACCGCGUAAUGCCGCGGGGCUGCAUGGCCCUGCGGCCAAAGGGAGCGAUUCCGGCAACGGAUGGGCAUGCGUGACAUUAGCUAGUUGGCGGGGCAACGGCCCACCAAGGCGACGAUGUCUAGGGGUUCUGAGAGGAAGGUCCCCCACACUGGUACUGAGACACGGACCAGACUCCUACGGGAGGCAGCAGUGAGGAAUAUUGGUCAAUGGGCGCGAGCCUGAACCAGCCAAGUCGCGUGAGGGAUGACGGCCCUACGGGUUGUAAACCUCUUUUGUCGGGGAGCAAAUUCCGCCACGUGUGGCGGAGUCGAGAGUACCCGAAGAAAAAGCAUCGGCUAACUCCGUGCCAGCAGCCGCGGUAAUACGGAGGAUGCGAGCGUUAUCCGGAUUUAUUGGGUUUAAAGGGUGCGUAGGCGGACUGUCAAGUCAGCGGUAAAAUACGGGGGCUCAACCUCCGCCCGCCGUUGAAACUGACGGUCUUGAGUGGGCGAGAAGUAUGCGGAAUGCGUGGUGUAGCGGUGAAAUGCAUAGAUAUCACGCAGAACUCCGAUUGCGAAGGCAGCAUACCGGCGCCCGACUGACGCUGAAGCACGAAAGCGUGGGUAUCGAACAGGAUUAGAUACCCUGGUAGUCCACGCAGUAAACGAUGAA